ensembl:lncRNA
AAUAAAGGUUGAGAGAUAAGUCUGGGGGCAAUAAUUUUAGAAACUUCCAAGUGAAACUGUCAAGUAAUUUCUUUGAAGGCACUUUUUAAUAUGUAUUUCAGAAAAUGAACAAUUUGUAGGAUGUCAAACAUCUUUAAUUGAAAUUUCUGUGCCUUUGCUUUAAUAAAUUCACUUCAUUUACUUCAUCCUUAAAAUUCUCUCCUUAAGUGGUCAGCACUUAUUAAGAGAGUGAUGUGAUUUACGUGGAAUUCUGCUCAGUUCUAUUUUCAUUGAUGAAAAGAGAAGUCCCCAUCAGUUGUGCUGCAAAUAUGCGGAUGUUUUUCUGAGGAGACACGGGAGGACAAGGAAUGCUGAUGUGGCCUCAAGUGUCCAUAGGAUUUGGAGGAGGAUUACAAGAGAAUAACAAGAUGCUCUUGCACUACAAUUUCAGAUUCCACUUCUCAAAAGCUGAUGACGUUGAGAUUCAGGAUUCUUGCUGGAUUCUGCUUGUGCAUCUUGCCUCUUAUCCUAUCUUUGAGAAUAGUCUGUUUCUGCCUUCUCUACAAAAUUCUACUAGUUUGUUGAAGACAGCAAGAAGACUCAGCAAUCUCUUCUUAAGAUUGCAUAAGCUUGGCUGACAACCUCACUUUGUACAUCAUGUCCUCCUGACCCCUGCUGAGGUCUAGGAAGAGCAAGGUGAGGCACAAGGACUCUUCCCAGCUCUUACUUUCCUCUUCAGUUCCUGGUGUUCAGAUCAAGUUUUGUUGCUGAUACUGGAGGUCAGGAGUAAUGGGGCAGAGAGAGACUACUCAGGUGGGUGUGAAUGUAAUCAUCCUGCCGGGGCCCCUAUCUGUGAAUGCCAUAAAACUAACCUGCUAGCCUAAGCUUAACGGGAAGUGACCAGCUAGGGAGAUUAUGUAUGAAGAUCGUUCUGUUUUGGGCCUGAGAACUGAUUUGAGAAUAGAGCUGGUGCCUCCUUUGUGAAACCUCUGCUGCAGCAGCAGCAGACACCCAAUAAAAG